rnacentral:rRNA from 1 species
AUUGAACGCUGGCGGCAGGCCUAACACAUGCAAGUCGAACGGUAACAGGAAGCAGCUUGCUGCUUUGCUGACGAGUGGCGGACGGGUGAGUAAUGUCUGGGAAACUGCCCGAUGGAGGGGGAUAACUACUGGAAACGGUAGCUAAUACCGCAUAACGUCGCAAGACCAAAGAGGGGGACCUUAGGGCCUCUUGCCAUCGGAUGUGCCCAGAUGGGAUUAGCUAGUAGGUGGGGUAACAGCUCACCUAGGCGACGAUCCCUAGCUGGUCUGAGAGGAUGACCAGCCACACUGGAACUGAGACACGGUCCAGACUCCUACGGGAGGCAGCAGUGGGGAAUAUUGCACAAUGGGCGCAAGCCUGAUGCAGCCAUGCCGCGUGUAUGAAGAAGGCCUUCGGGUUGUAAAGUACUUUCAGCGGGGAGGAAGGGAGUAAAGUUAAUACCUUUGCUCAUUGACGUUACCCGCAGAAGAAGCACCGGCUAACUCCGUG